GGCUAAUUGAAUUAAGAGGUGCUGUAAGUGUAAAAUAUACAUGAGAUUUUGAAGACUUGGCUUUCAGACGCGGACUGAAUUUGCCAUUGGUUUUCCUGGAUCUUCAGCUUGCAGAUGGAAGACUGUAGGACUUCUCAACCUCCAAAAUCACAUGAGGGAGAUUCUGGAGCUUCAGCGGGCCAUCAUUAUCUUAAUUCUCUUACACAAAUUUUAAAGACACAUGGCAAAGGCAAGAGCUUUGUGUCAUGUCUUAUCAAGCCCUGACCAGGAAAACCGUUUAUAGGUAAUGAACAGUUAAUGCUCAUUAAAUGUUUAU